rnacentral:rRNA from 1 species
AUACGUAGGUGACAAGCGUUAUCCGGAUUUACUGGGCGUAAAGGGCGUGUAGGCGGUCUUGCAAGUCAGAAGUGAAAUUCCUGAGCUCAACUCGGGCGCUGCUUCUGAAACUGCAGGACUUGAGUGCUGGAGGGGAUAGCGGAAUUCCUAGUGGAGCGGUAAAAUGCGCAGAUAUUAGGAAGAACACCGGUGGCGAAGGCGGCUAUCUGGACAGUAACUGACGCUGAGGCGCGAAAGCGUGGGGAGCAAACAGGAUUAGAUACCCUGGUAGUCCACACUGUAAACGAUGAAUGCUAGGUGUAAGAGGUAUCGACCCCUUUGUGCCGGAGUCAACACAAUAAGCAUUCCGCCUGGGGAGUACAGCCGCAAGGUUGAAACUCAAAUGAAUUGGCGGGG